GACGCUGUCGUCUGCCCCGACUGCGACGGUGGCUUCCUCGAGGAGGUGGGCGGCUCGCCUCUCCCUCUCGGACCCGCAGCUGAGCUCCCCCCCCCUCAGGGGUUCCCCUCUUCCGCCGCGCUCACGCUCGGCAGCCACGGAUCCUCCGCGGAGGCCGGCCCACUUCAACAAUCCGAGCUCAGAUUCCGCCAGAACCGACGUGCGGCUGCCGGCGACCGCUCACCCUUCAAUCCGGUCAUCGUUCUUCGCGGCGCGUCUGACGGCGACCGUGAUGAGGAUCGCUCGACCGCUAGUAACUUCGAGCUUUACUAUGACGAUGGCACAGCAGCCGGCCUCCGCCCCUUGCCGGAAAGCAUCUCGGAUUUCCUGAUGAGCUCUGGCUUCGACCGCCUCCUCGAGCAGUUCGCCCAUAUCGAGAUCAACGGCAUGGGUCACGACAGAGGAAGCGAGCGCCCCCCGGCGUCAAAGGUCGCCAUCG
rnacentral:lncRNA from 1 species